UCUUAAGCUGAAAUAGUUAUCCUCUCUGGUUUAUAUUCUUAGCAAAGGGAGCUAAAUUGAGUCAAGACCAACUUUGGCACAGUGAAGGCUGUUUUGUUUGGAAGUAACAUACCUACCUAUUCCAUUUUACUUAUCUGCUGAUUUUUUUUGAAAAACAAAAAUGACUAAGA